rnacentral:rRNA from 1 species
AGGAGGCAGCAGUGGGGAAUUUUCGGCAAUGGGGGAAACCCUGACCGAGCGACGCCGCGUGAGGGACGAAGGCCUUCGGGUUGUAAACCUCUGUCUUCGGGGACGAUGAUGACGGUACCCGAGGAGGAAGCCACGGCUAACUACGUGCCAGCAGCCGCGGUAAGACGUAGGUGGCGAGCGUUGUCCGGAAUUACUGGGCGUAAAGGGCGUGUAGGCGGCCUGUUAAGUCAGACGUGAAAUCACAGGGCUUAACCUUGUGACUGCGUUUGAGACUGAUGGGCUUGAGGACAGGAGAGGAAAGCGGAACUCCGUGUGUAGCGGUGAAAUGCGUAGAUAUACGGAAGAACACCAGUGGCGAAGGCGGCUUUCUGGACUGUCCCUGACGCUGAGGCGCGAAAGCCAGGGGAGCGAACGGGAUUAGAUACCCCUGUAGUCC